rnacentral:rRNA from 1 species
GAUGAACGCUGGCGGCGUGCCUAAUACAUGCAAGUCGAGCGAACAGACGAGGAGCUUGCUCCUCUGACGUUAGCGGCGGACGGGUGAGUAACACGUGGAUAACCUACCUAUAAGACUGGGAUAACUUCGGGAAACCGGAGCUAAUACCGGAUAAUAUAUUGAACCGCAUGGUUCAAUAGUGAAAGACGGUUUUGCUGUCACUUAUAGAUGGAUCCGCGCCGCAUUAGCUAGUUGGUAAGGUAACGGCUUACCAAGGCAACGAUGCGUAGCCGACCUGAGAGGGUGAUCAGCCACACUGGAACUGAGGCACGGUCCAGACUCCUACGGGAGGCAGCAGUAGGGAAUCUUCCGCAAUGGGCGAAAGCCUGACGGAGCAACGCCGCGUGAGUGAUGAAGGUCUUCGGAUCGUAAAACUCUGUUAUUAGGGAAGAACAAAUGUGUAAGUAACUAUGCACGUCUUGACGGUACCUAAUCAGAAAGCCACGGCUAACUACGUG